UGUGGGCAGGAGCCACCUGUGUCAUCGUGCCUCAGUUUCCCCAGACACAGGCUCUCACUCUGAGGUCCAAGAUGAAGGACACCUUGUAGAUGACGCUGCCCCCAUAGCAUUCAGGAGCCAUCCCCCAGAUACCAAAACCUGCAGGGAAGCACUGAAGGCCAAAACAAGGUAACAAAGCUGCUAGGAGCAAUUGGAGAGGAGAUUGCUGAGAUUUCUGCCAAAGAAUUGAAAAGCUCCAGUUCCUGCAGUGGGACCCCCCCAGCCCAGGGAGUGACUUGGUUCACCUUCAGCAUCUGCUUGCUCUGCGGUGUGAGGCAGGAAGGGUCACUUGUCCAUGGAAAAUGACGUGGAAGAAAAGCAAGGUUUUAAAGAGGGCUUUGUGUAUGAGCUGGGCUUGCUUCUGGUGCCUAAUUUGGUCCAUCCUGAACACCCCUUGGCUUCAUGGUGAGUUGUCUCCCUCAUCCAGAGGUGGAUGGGAACUGCAUUGCAAUGAAGCAGCUCUGGAUGUGGAGCUCCUCCAGUCUUUGCUGGCAGCAGGAGCAUCUUCUGCUUGGAAGGGAGAGUUUUCCACAGAAAUGUGUCCAUCUCCUUGUGCUCCCUCUUCAGCAGUGACCAGUAAUGAUGCUUAAGAUGAAGGAAGAAGAGCUCAGUUGCAGCAGGCUGAGUCUAAAGUGCAUUUCCUACAACCCUGGUGUGUCCAGCAGCCUGUGCCAUGAGAUGACAAAGUGACAAAAUUACAAACUUUCCUCUCCUCUGCCUGCUCAGUGCCCUGAGGUCUGUGAUGCAGUGUGGCACUAGGUGAUGCCCAAGCCAUCCAAAGUGUUUGGGACCAUCUGUGUCUCUGGGAAGAUGUCUCUGUGUCUCUGGGAAGAUGCCCUCAUUAUCUGCAAGGGGAAAGCACUGCCCCAGAUAUCCUGUUCCCUUCCUCUGAAAGGAGCAGGGCCUUCCCUCCAGUUCUGUCCCCCAGAAGGGUCAGGGCAGGCUUCAGAGCCCCUGCUCAGAGCUGCUUUUACUCUUCAGGGACAGCACAGAUGGACCAUGAUGUGGUCAGCAAAGUCAGCAGCUGAGCUCCAGCCAUGCACAGCAAAGAUCUUUAUUCAAUUAUCUGCCAGGAUGCCAAUAAGCCCAGGAGGAUGAGCCAUCGAUGUGAACCCCUCGUGUGGGGGGUGAAGGGACAGCCAGACGUCUGAGCACUGAAAUUGCUGACAGAAACACCUGGGAGUGCCAGACACCUCGUUAGCCAGUGAAUCCUGUGCUGG